UACGUAGGUGGCAAGCGUUGUCCGGAAUUAUUGGGCGUAAAGCGCGCGCAGGCGGCCUUUUAAGUCUGAUGUGAAAGCCCACGGCUCAACCGUGGAAGGUCAUUGGAAACUGAAAGGCUUGAGUACAGAAGAGGAAAGCGGAAUUCCACGUGUAGCGGUGAAAUGCGUAGAGAUGUGGAGGAACACCAGUGGCGAAGGCGGCUUUCUGGUCUGUAACUGACGCUGAGGCGCGAAAGCCAGGGGAGCAAACGGG
rnacentral:rRNA from 1 species